rnacentral:lncRNA from 1 species
GAUGGGCAGAAAAAUCACAUUACAAAAUGGCGCCAGCAACAUGCAGCAUGAAUUUCCAGAAUAAUAUGCUUUGAUGAAGCAAGACCACCUAAAGCAGUGACCCACGUGAUCCAACAUUCAAAACAGCUGGGACAAGGAAGCCUGUGAGACACAACUGCUCCUGUUAACACUAAUUAUGUCAGAAAGGAGGACGGGCAUCGAAGAAACUCAGUAUGGAGUUUGCCGUUAACAUGGCAAGAUUAGCUAUUUGGGCAAGAAACUACUCUUGUCUGGACUGUUUGAUAAACUGAAUAUUCAGUGUCCCCAGGGCAGUGUCUGCUGAACUUGAUGGGAAAGUCC